rnacentral:rRNA from 1 species
ACUAAGCCAUGCAUGUCUCAGUACAGACCGAUAAAAGGUGAAACCGCGAAUGGCUCAUUAAAUCAGUCGUAAUCCACGGGAGUUUGACCCAGUCUUACUUGGAUAACCGUGGUAAUUCUAGGGCUAAUACACGCAACUGAGCUCCGACCCUGCUUCGGUGGGGGUAAGGGCGCCUUUAUUAGUACGCAAAUCGAUCCAUUCCUCUUUUGGUUGGAUGGUUGUGAUGACCCUGGAUAACCUAGCCGAGCGCUCAGGUCCUCGUGACCCGCGCCGCAUCCUUCGAGCGACUGCCUUAUCAGCUAUAUCGUAGGGUAUUGGCCUACGAUGGCUGUGACGGGUAACGGGGAAUCAGGGUUCGAUUCCGGAGAGGGAGCCCGAGAAACGGCUACCACAUCUAAGGAAGGCAGCAGGCACGCAAAUUACCCACUCCCAGUUCGGGGAGGUAGUGACGAAAAAUACUGAUGCGGGACUCGUUCCGAGGCCUCGCCAUCAGAUUGAGUUUAUCCUAAAACAUUGGACAAGUUUCAACUGGAGGGCAAGUCUGGUGCCAGCMGCCGCGGUAAUUCAGCUCCAGUAGCGUAUGCUAAAGUUGCUGCGGUUAAAAAGCUCAUAGUUGGAUCUCACGGCCGGAACGGCGGCCCACUAAAGGUUUCSACCAGCGCUGUGGUUGGUCASUGUACUCGUUAUGCUGUGCCUCUGCGGAUUGCUUGCGUCUGCCCGGUGGUCAACUGUCCGUCUCCGACUCGAGACUCCCGCUGGUUCGCGAGGGAUGCCUUGUCUUGUACGGGUGUCCCGAGUGACCGGCACGUUCACUUUGAAUAAAUUARAGUGCUCAAAGCAGGCAAAGUCUUACGCCUGAAUGAUGGUGCAUGGAAUGAUGGAACAGGACCUCGGUUCUGCUCUUUGGUCGAUUUUUUAGAAUCGAGGUAAUGAUUAAAAGAAACAGACGGGGGCAUUCGUAUUGCGACGCUAGAGGUGAAAUUCUUGGACCGUCGCAAGACGAACUACUGCGAAAGCAUUUGCCAAGAAUGUUUUCCUUAAUCAAGAACGAAAGUUAGAGGAUCGAAGGCGAUCAGAUACCGCCCUAGUUCUAACCAUAAACGAUGCUACCUGGCGAUCCGUCGGCGUCAUACCCACGACUCGACGGGGAGCCUCCGGGAAACCAAAGGCUUUGGGUUCCGGGGGAAGUAUGGUUGCAAAGCUGAAACUUAAAGGAAUUGACGGAAGGGCACCACCAGGAGUGGAGCCUGCGGCUUAAUUUGACUCAACACGGGGAAACUUACCAGGUCCAGACACCGAAAGGAUUGACAGAUUGAGAGCUCUUUCUCGAUACGGUGGAUGGUGGUGCAUGGCCGUUCUUAGUUGA